UGCUGUUUUGACAUCAUUUCUUGCCAUCCUGAGAAAAAAUGAUCUCGAGGAGCAUGAAUUGCAGCUGCAAUGGAAAUUGCGCAUCCAGCGCAAGUUUCAGAAUUCAAGAAAGAGGCAGGAUUCCUCAGUGACUGAGGUGACGUCAAGGAAAAAGAAGAUCCCUUGCAUAGUGCCAAAAGAGACUACGUGUCCACUGAUGUGUGGAGUAAAGGCUUACCUUCCACCAAGGCCCCAUUCAGAAGAUGAUGAGUCAUUAGAGAGACAUAGACAGUGGCUUGCUCUACAUUGGAUGAAGAAAGAUCCCGAGUUAGAUAAUCAAGGAGUUCCUGAGAUUAGAACCACAAGUGGAUGAACCAGACCCAAGAGUAGCAGUUUUGAAAGGGCUGGAGAAAUAUAGCCUCCCAAUAAUUGCCAUUCUCAAAAAUAGAAAAGCAGUUCCUCUGUAUAUGGAAACCUUACUUGAACUCUAU